rnacentral:rRNA from 1 species
AAUCAAGUGCCUUAAGGGUGUUCGGUGGAUGCCUUGGCGCUGAGAGGCGAUGAAGGACGUGCUACGCUGCGAUAAGCCGUGGGGAGCUGCGAAGAAGCUUUGAUCCGCGGAUUUCCGAAUGGGGAAACCCACCUUCGAUAGCCGGAACUCCAAGACCUUGGUCAUGGGGUUUGAGUAGGAGACUGCGAAAAUCUGAGGCCGUGAGGUUUUGGAUUUCCGGUUAUCAAGAGAAGGUAUGAGACUUCUGAAUACAUAGGAGGUUUCAAGCAAACCCAGGGAACUGAAACAUCUAAGUACCUGGAGGAAAGGACAUCAACAGAGACUCCGCUAGUAGUGGCGAGCGAACGCGGACCAGGCCAGUCAUGAAUGUGAGACAACCAGAACCUGUCAGGAAAGCAGGGCCUCAGAGGGUGAUAGCCCCGUAUGGGUAAUGCGAGCAUUCAUGCUCGAGUACGGCGG